rnacentral:misc_RNA from 1 species
GAUGAAAACGUAGCGAAAUGCGAUAAGUAGUGUGAAUUGCAGAAUUCAGUGAAUCAUCGAAUCUUUGAACGCACAUUGCGCCCCUUGGUAUUCCAUGGGGCAUGCCUGUUCGAGCGUCAUUUGUACCUUCAAGCUUUGCUUGGUGUUGGGUGUUUGUCUCGCCUUUGCGUGUAGACUCGCCUUAAAAUAAUUGGCAGCCGGCGUAUUGAUUUCGGAGCGCAGUACAUCUCGCGCUUUGCACUCAUAACGACAGCGUCCAAAAGUACAUUUUACACUCUUGACCUCGGAUCAGGUAGGGAUACCCGCUGAACUUAAGCAUAUCAAUAAGCGGAGGA